rnacentral:rRNA from 1 species
UACAGAGGGUGCGAGCGUUGUCCGGAAUCAUUGGGCGUAAAGCGCGCGUAGGCGGCCCCGUAAGUCCGCUGUGAAAGUCAAAGGCUCAACCUUUGAAAGCCGGUGGAAACUGUGGGGCUAGAGUCCGGAAGAGGCGAGUGGAAUUCCUGGGUGUAGCGGUGGAAUGCGCAGAUAUCAGGAGGAACACCAAUAGCGAAGGCAGCUCGCUGGGACGGUACUGACGCUAAGGCGCGAAAGCGUGGGGAGCGAACAGG